CAGUCUUGCUGGAUGAGAUUGUUGCACGCUAAGUGGAUGGCUUGCUGGUGCAGCGCAAGCGCCUCAGUGAGUUUUGAAAUGUACGCGUGUGGUGCUUCUCGUCUUGUGUGUCAGCGCUGAUUCACCUGUGGGUACAACUCCACGCACAUGGAAGUUCAUCUAUGGGUGAGCGAACGUGUGUGGCAGAACUCACGAGUGAAUUGAAAGUCUGCGCUUGGUGACAACACUUGUGCCCUGCUCUACAGUUGCGUUGCACUUGUAGCGUGCUGUGUGGUAGUGUCAUGGGUGUGCAUUGGGCGCAGUGACUCUGACGAAAUGGUUCCUUUCGACCCGUCUUGAAACACGGACCAAGGAGUCUAACAUAUGUGCAAGUUCAUGGGUGGGCAAACCUACGUGCGUAAUGAAAGUGACUGUUGGGAUAUUUGCACCAACAACCGACCAAUCAAUCGAGAGAGGUUUGAGUAUGAGCAUAUCUGUUAGGACCCGAAAGAUGGUGAACUAUGCUUGAGAAGGGUGAACUCAGGGGAAACUCUGAUGGAGGCUCGUAGCGAUACUGACGUGCAAAUCGUCGUCAUACUGAGU
rnacentral:rRNA from 1 species